UGGAUUCAAACCCUGAUCCUGCAACUUUUCAAAUGUAAAGAGAAGGAAAAUACACUCAAACUCUUGGAGCUGAUUUGCCAUCUCAAGCACAGCUAAUGUUAGCUGGUUCACUUAGACUAUCAUAAGCCAAAGACCACCAGAAACAUACCUGUGAUUGAAAAAAGUGAAGGAAGGAGUCCACAUAUGAAAGGAAGGAACCCACAAACCAUGAGAAAUGUGAGGCAUUUCAGUAAAAGUGAAAAUAGUGUUCCACAGAAAAGAGACGGUUCAGUUUGCAACUCCAACAAUCGCACACUGCUUUUCCUCAAGACAACCAAUGAAUUCAGUCUGCCCGUUGCAGGUUGGCCAGCACGCUGGUCUGCCUCCUCCUCACUCCAAGACCCACGCUGAUGGAGCAGUCACUACCUGGAACGCAGCACUUCCAGCGACAGAGUCAGAAGAGAAAGCAUUGCACAUCGAG